rnacentral:rRNA from 2 species
AGGUGGUUAUAACGUUGGGGUUCCACCUCUUCCCAUUCCGAACAGAGAAGUUAAGCCCAAUCGUGCCGAUGGUACUGCGUUU